rnacentral:sRNA from 1 species
ACGAUGACAUGCUGUAUUGGCACAAGCACGGGGAUGGAUGGAAGACCCCCGUCCCCAUGGAGGAGGAUCCCCUGCUGGACACAGACAUGCUCAUGUCGGAAUUCAGCGACACCCUCUUCUCCACACUUUCUUCACACCAGCCGGUGGCCUGGCCCAAUCCCCGGGAAAUAGCACAUCUGGGAAAUGCAGACAUGAUCCAGCCGGGACUGAUUCCUUUGCAGCCUAACCUGGACUUCAUGGACACCUUUGAGCCUUUCCAGGGAGAGCAUCCUGCCGACCACAGCCCUCCCCACUGUGAGCCUUCCUGACAGCCUCAUCGCGCCCCCUACCGCCCCAUCCCUGGCUCACAUGGAUGGGCAGGGCUGUGAACACACCUCCCGGACUGAGGACCCGUUUAUCCAGCCCACGGACUUCGGUCCCUCAGAGCCGCCACUGAGUGUCCCGCAGCCCUUCCUCCCUGUCUUCACCAUGCCCCUGCUGUCUCCCAGCCCCGCCCCACCGCCCAUCUCCCCCGUGUUACCAUUAGUUCCUCCUCCUGCCACUGCCCUGAACCCCCCGGCUCCACCCACCUUCCAUCAGCCGCAGAAGGUUGCUGGAGUCAACAAAGCGCCGUCUGUCAUCACCCACACGGCCUCUGCCACCCUCACCCACGAUGCCCCCGCCACCACCUUCAGCCAGAGUCAGGGCCUUGUGAUCACCACCCAUCACCCUGCCCCGUCAGCGGCCCCUUGUGGGCUGGCACUGUCUCCUGUCACCCAGCCUCCCCAGCCACGGUUAACUUUUGUGCACCCCAAACCUGUAUCCUUGACUGGGGGCAGGCCUAAGCAGCCCCACAAAAUAGUGCCUGCUCCCAAACCAGAGCCCGUGUCCUUGGUGUUGAAGAAUGCCCGCAUCGCCCCAGGUGAGCCAGGCGGGGAGACUCAGUGCGGGGCUCCCCCCGACCCAGAGGGAUGUUUUCCCAUCCCAAAGGCUUUCAAACUUGUGACCACCACCACCACCCUGGUGUGCACGUGCAUGCGCACACACAUACACUUAAAUGAAACAAAAGUGUCAUGAAAUAAUACAUGGCCAUGAUCUA